GACGGAGGGGGCUAGCGUUGUUCGGAAUUACUGGGCGUAAAGCGCGCGUAGGCGGCGCAUUAAGUCAGAGGUGAAAGCCCAGGGCUCAACCCUGGAACUGCCUUUGAUACUGCCAGUCUAGAGUUCGGGAGAGGUGAGCGGAAUUCCGAGUGUAGAGGUGAAAUUCGUAGAUAUUCGGAGGAACACCAGAGGCGAAGGCGGCUCACUGGACCGAUACUGACGCUGAGGAGCGAAAAGCGUGGGGAGCAAA
rnacentral:rRNA from 1 species